UAAUUUAUAUUUUAAUUAAGAUUAUUAGAAAUUUAUUAUUUAGUUAUGAUUGGGGUGAUUUUUAAAGAAUAUUAAUCUUUAAAAUUUUUUAAUAAAAAAGUUCCAUUAGUAGUGAUUUUUUGAUAAAAAUACUCUAGGGAUAACAGCGUUAUUAUUUUGGAUAGUUCAUAUAGAUAAAAUAGUUUGCGACCUCGAUGUUGGAUUAGGAUUCUUUUAUGAUGAAGAAGUUAUAAGGGAGAAGUUUGCUCAACUUUUAAAGUCCUACUUGAUCUGAGUUCAGACCGGG
rnacentral:rRNA from 1 species